GAUAUACUCUUUGUUGUGUGUUUUUUCUUUAAACCUGGUAUUGGCCGAUUCAACCACAGAAAAAGAAUAUUAGCCAUAACCAUAAAAGUUGAAGUUCAAAUGUCAGUGUCAUUUAGUUUCGCACAGUGAUAAAUUCCAGUGACAUUCAAUUUUUGUAAUGGCAAAAUAUUUGUAAGAAACUGCAAACAAAUGCAAAUGUGCAGUCGAUGUGUGGAAUGCGACAACAUUAUACUCGAUAAUUUCAAUUAUUGAGAGUGUUGUGGCUUAGAAACAAUUAGGCAGUUAAGAAUAAACAAGGCUCGGGCACUAUCAAACCUUUUUCCUAAAAAGCAAAAAGCUGCUUCUGCUGCAUCACAAGAUUUAUUUGAUGACUUUCAGGUUGAUAACGAAGAGUUGACGGUAAUCGAGGAUUCAUUGAUGAUUGAUGAUGCUUCUUCAGACAACAAGAAAAAACAGCUACUGUCAGUCAGCUUCUUCGGACAACAAGGAAAAACAGAUGCUGUCAGUCAGCAGUGAUUUUAUUUCUUUAGAAGAAGAAGAAGAAGAAAACAUAUCAAAUGGCGGACAGACCCCCGAAAAAACGUAAAUAAUCAAGCAGGUUUAGUAGGUACAGAAUAUCAGCCCCCCAGGACUAACUAUUUAUAUUUAGCACUUUCAAAUAACACCAUUCAAGUAUCAGUACAUUCAGUUGGUUCUAUGAUUAAUGAAUGUGUUCAAUGUCAAGCACUUCAUUUUUUAGGUGAAAAAAUUUUAGCCCAUUAUUUUACGCUGAAAAUCUUUUUCAUGAAUAUUGUGUCUUGGCCUAUGUUAGGAUUGAAUCUCAAAGAUUAUUGUUUCUUCGAAUGAAUCAAAAACAGCUCAGAGCUGACAAUUAUAACAAUAUAAUGAUAGAGAAAUGGGUCAAGGCAUUGGUAAAAUGAUAAUAUUGCCAGCAACUUAUGUGGGAAGUCCUCGGCAUAUGAUGCAAAAUUAUCAGGAUUCCAUGGCAAUUGUAUGCAAGUACUUAUGGUAAACCAGACUUAUUUAUAACAUUAACGUGCAAUCCGAAUUGGCAAGAAAUCUUAGAAAAUUUACAAGGCGCUAAAAAAGAACAUAGACCCUAUUUAAUUGCCUGAAUUUUUAAACUUAAAUUGGAGGAACUUUUAGAUGACAUUACAAGAAAAUAUUUUUUUGGAAUACCGAGUGCGUGGUUUUACACUAUUGAAUUUCAGAAACGUGGGCUUCCACAUGCGCAUAUGCUUAUUAUUCUAAGAAAUGAAGAUAAACCAAGGUCAUCAGUAGAUUAUGAUAAAUUUGUGUGUGCAGAAAUACCUGACCCAGAUAAAGACCAGGAACUU